rnacentral:rRNA from 1 species
AGAGUUUGAUCCUGGCUCAGGACGAACGCUGGCGGCGUGCCUAACACAUGCAAGUCGAGCGGGGAACGGAUGGUAGCUUGCUACCGUUUGUUUCUAGCGGCGGACGGGUGAGUAACGCGUGAGCAACCUGCCUUUAUCAGGGGGAUAACGCAUCGAAAGAUGUGCUAAUACCGCGUAAGACCACAGCCUCACAUGGGGCAGGGGUCAAAGGAGCAAUCCGGAUAAAGAUGGGCUCGCGUCCGAUUAGCUAGUUGGUGAGAUAACAGCCCACCAAGGCGACGAUCGGUAGCCGACCUGAGAGGGUGAUCGGCCACAUUGGAACUGAGAGACGGUCCAGACUCCUACGGGAGGCAGCAGUGGGGAAUAUUGGGCAAUGGGCGAAAGCCUGACCCAGCAACGCCGCGUGAGGGAAGAAGGGUUUCGGCUCGUAAACCUCUGUCCUAUGGGACGAAGGAAGUGACGGUACCAUAGGAGGAAGCCCCGGCUAACUACGUGCCAGCAGCCGCGGUAAUACGUAGGGGGCGAGCGUUGUCCGGAAUGAUUGGGCGUAAAGGGCGCGUAGGCGGCCUGCUAAGUCUGGAGUGAAAGUCCUGCUUUCAAGGUGGGAAUUGCUUUGGAUACUGGUGGGCUGGAGUGCAGGAGAGGAAAGCGGAAUUACCGGUGUAGCGGUGAAAUGCGUAGAGAUCGGUAGGAACACCAGUGGCGAAGGCGGCUUUCUGGACUGAAACUGACGCUGAGGCGCGAAAGCGUGGGGAGCAAACAGGAUUAGAUACCCUGGUAGUCCACGCGGUAAACGAUGAAUACUAGGUGUCUGGGAGCACAGCUCUUAGGUGCCGCCGCAAACGCAUUAAGUAUUCCACCUGGGGAGUACGUUCGCAAGAAU